rnacentral:rRNA from 1 species
UACGGGGGGAGCAAGCGUUGUUCGGAUUUACUGGGCGUAAAGGGCGCGUAGGCGGCCAGCGCAAGUCAGUUGUGAAAUCUCCGGGCUUAACUCGGAAAGGUCAACUGAUACUGCGCGGCUAGAGUGCAGAAGGGGCAACUGGAAUUCUCGGUGUAGCGGUGAAAUGCGUAGAUAUCGAGAGGAACACCUGCGGCGAAGGCGGGUUGCUGGGCUGACACUGACGCUGAGGAGCGAAAGCCAGGGGAGCAAACGGG